AAAAGCGUUUAUUAUUCAUAAAAUUAUAGAAAUUAAAAAAAAAGAAAUCUUUCUUUACCAAGGACAUUUUCAAAAUGGAGUAAAUUCAUUAUUUCACAAGUUGUUUUUUAUUUAGCAAUAUUAUCAAAUUUACUUUCUAACCUUAAAAACACUGAUGGACCAUUCAAUAUGUAUUUAUUGUUUUAGUUUUAAGGAUAUAAAAAAUUUUAAUAAGAAAUGAAUUAUACAAAUUUAUUAACAACUAAUGAAUCAAAAGAUGACGAUAUACACUUAAUAAAUAAAGAUGAUCGAACCUAUGAUGAUGUCCCUAAACAAUCAAGUAGUCUUUUGUACUACCUCUUUUUAAGUAUUUUGCUAAUAAUUAUAGCAGCAAUUUGUAUACGAUUAGUAUACAGAGAUAGUUAUUGGAAAGCUAUUAUACAUAUUUGGACUGUAUUUGUCAUAUUUAUCUUGACUUUGGCUACAGGUUCAUUUGUUUCACGAAUAGUAAAUUGUUUGGCAGAACUAGAACACUUGAAUACUAAAUAUGAUGGUCAAUUAUAUGCAAUUUUGAAAGUAACAUUUGAUUUCAAUUUGACAUCAAUAAUAAUAAUCGUUUUAUGUUGUUGUUCAAUUGCUAAUCAAUUUAAGAGUAUCAAUAAUUACAUAGAAUAUUUCAAUUUAUCGAAUCUAUUGAUUUCAAUAGCAGCAAUAAUUUUAUGUUAUAAUGUGGAUUUGUUUGGAUCUAAAUCAACUACUUUUCGUACCAUUGAUGCCUUAGGAGGUGUAGAUUAUGGAACCGGAAUGGCAUAUAGUUAUUUUUACGGAUAUUUGAGAAUAAUUCUACCUCCAGACGGUUUACAAAAUCCAGGAAUUCGCACAAAAAUGGUAGAUUAUGAAUCUCAUCAUAAUGUGAAAAUUCCAGUGAAAAAACUUUUUAUUUUAAUUCCUAAAUCCGGUCAUAUUCCACCAGAUUUAAAAGAUGCAUCAGAUAAUUGGUUGGAGGGAACAACUAGUCUUACAAAUGUUAUUCGAGAUAGAGCUGGUAUAAAACGACGCUCUUAUAAAAAUACUGUUUAUAAAAUACAUCCUGAAGGUGAAGAUAGUAAUCAUAGACCAGUUUAUAUAACAGUAGAAGGAGCUACACCUAUGUUGACGUUGAAUGAAAUAAUAAAACACUCUCAUAAACAAACAGAAAUUUAUAGGCAUAGUCACAAAGAAAUUGUUGCAGUAUUUUAUAAAACUCUUCAAGAAUUAUUAAAUAGUGAUCCGGAUUGUCGUGAUGUUUGUGAGCUGAUUUAUUACGAUGAUUAUCCUAAUAAUGAAAAAAUCAAUAUUGGUAAACUUCUAUUAUAUAAAAUUCGGAAAAAAGCACCAGCGAGUUAUUAAAUUAUUCAAAUUAAAAUGACAAAUUUAGUUUUUAAAAGAGCUCAAUAUUCGAUUUUAAUAACGCUUGUGGUAAAUAAUCAUUAUAUUCAUAUUUACAAUGGCUGAAGACAAUAAUUUAAAGAAGAAAAAUAAUUAUAAAUAUCAAAAUUACGCAAUGACUAAAGAAAAACAACCAGCUUAUUUUUAAGUUAUCAUUAAACAUCACACAAUUCAAAUUGUACAUAAAAUUUAUACAACAUAAUACGCACGGCCAAUUUAAGACCAUUUGCGUGUCCAGUCACUGGAUGUGAGAUCAACAUUGUGGCAAAACAAGUAAUCAUUAUGUCAUUUUUGUUUAAAAUCAAAUGCACAAGACAAUACAUUUCUUGGCAUUAUUAGUUAGUGUUUUGUGUCAUUAUACUUAAAUCUAAUUUCAUUCUGUUUAAUCUUAAAUAAGUACGCAAUAAGACAUUGGAAGAACAUAGUUGAUGAGUUUAUAAUGAUCACAAUUAAAUUAGCUCAACAAGAAGCUCGCUUUUUAUUUAAAAAAGUAAAAAAACGGAAGCAUAUUCUUUUUAAAUGUUACUCUUCCGUAACCUGACUGUUUUUUCAUAUAUUAUUUGUGCUAUAUAAUUGGCACACUUCAAAAUAAAGAAGAGAUAUGAAAGAGAAACCAAAGAAAAAAUAAAAGAAAAUAAAUUUAAGUACUCAUUAUACAUAAAGUUCGUAAAUGGCGAAUUUUCAUUUAAUAAUAAAAUAUUGGGUUAAAAAUAUCACACAACAUACACAAUCGUGCAUAUUUUUUAUUCUUUUUGUCAACGUAUCGUUCAUCUUCGCAUUCUGUAAUACUUAUGAUCAUACAUAUUGUUCUUAUUUGUAUAAUCAUUAAGUAAAGUAUGACUAAAAAAUAAUAGGAAAAUUGUAUAAUUUUAAUCUUAUCCGUCAGACUUGUAUGAAAAUUAAACCAAGGCAAAUGUAAAUGUCAUCACUAGUACAUUUUCGGUCAGGUACAAUGUUCAUAAUCGCUUAUUAAUUUUUUACAAUCAAAUAAAUAUUCAAAUAAAAAUAUUACAUUUACAAAACCCCAUUAAAUGAUUUAUGUUUGCAUUUUUAUAUUAAUGCCAAUUAUAAUAUCUAAAAGUAAUUUAACUAUAAAUAAAGUGUAACAACCUUAUAAAACGUGACUGUGGCACGCAAAUACCCUUGCAUUUUCAAUUCUUUAAACGAAACCAAAAUAUAAAAAUUGAAAUUUCAUAGUAAUUAAAAUAUUUAUAACAUUUCAUCAUAUCACCGAUAUAUAAAUUAUUUAUAAAUAAUCUUUAUUA
rnacentral:misc_RNA from 1 species